rnacentral:rRNA from 1 species
UACGGAGGGGCUAGCGUUGCUCGGAAUCACUGGGCGUAAAGCGCACGUAGGCGGAUUGUUAAGUCAGGGGUGAAAUCCUGGAGCUCAACUCCAGAACUGCCUUUGAUACUGGCGAUCUUGAGUCCGGGAGAGGUGAGUGGAACUGCGAGUGUAGAGGUGAAAUUCGUAGAUAUUCGCAAGAACACCAGUGGCGAAGGCGGCUCACUGGCCCGGUACUGACGCUGAGGUGCGAAAGCGUGGGGAGCAACAGG